rnacentral:misc_RNA from 1 species
AAGUCGUAACAAGGUUUCCGUAGGUGAACCUGCGGAAGGAUCGUUAACACGUAUCAAAACGUUAAAACCCCUCCCCGUGAACCUUCAUCCUGCUCUUGUAACCCGCGUAGUUCGCAAUCUCUGAUAAUCUGGCUACGUGCGAACAUUGGAACAGUUACAAUCGAGCGGUAGUUCAAAAGGCAAUGUUUCCCCAAGCAGUCAGUGUCGGAAAGUGUCAUUGAUUGAGCAAGGAUAGCGCUUCUACGAUUCCUGAAGACCGUACACUCGGGCAGGAGCUUUGCCAAAGGGUCCCCAUGCCCCCUAAUAACCCCACAGUUUAAUGUGAAGCUCAAUGUAAUACAUUGGAUAAAAAAACCGAACAACUGUUAACAAUGGAUAUCUUGGUUCUC